AGACUGCCUCAAUUCAAACGUGUUAUUCACGAAUGUUUUUGGCAAGGAAAUCGCCAAUCCUCGUGAUCAGUUGAUUUUGUGAUACGUCACGAUGAGAUCUAGAUCUCUGUGGAGUGUUUCUCAUAUAGUCUAUCCGCCUAACUGCUGUUGAUCCGGGUGAAUCCCAUCCCGGAACCAGUGAGACCUGCGUUACUGUUGGAAUUUUGUUUCUGAUUGUCGAAAUUUGAUAUCUUCUGGCCUCGCAGGAAGACAAGUAUUAUAUCACGCUGUUUGCCGUUAAGGGCAGGAGGCAAAAUUUCUUCAACCUCGGUGCCUUGAUUCAUGCACAGCAUUGGAACGGUUG
rnacentral:sRNA from 2 species